rnacentral:rRNA from 1 species
GCUUAGAAGCAGCCAUUCAUUUAAAGAGUGCGUAACAGCUCACUAGUCAAGAGAUUUUGCGUGGAAAAUGUAACGGGGCUAAAGUGUUAAACCGAAGACAUGGACUUCUGCCUAUGCAGGAGUGGUAGAGGAGCGUUGAUAUCGCAGUGAAGUCAGAUUGGAAAGUCUGGUGGAGCGUUAUCAAGUGAGAAUGCUGGAAUUAGUAACCUUAAGACAGGUGAGAAUCCUGUCGGUCGUAAGAGCAAGGUUUCCAGGGCUACAGUAAUUGCCCCUGGGUUAGUCGGUCCUAAGCCGAGGCGUAUCAGCGUAGGCGAUGGACAACAGGUUAAUAUUCCUGUACAGGUAGUAGUUGUGAACAGUUCACGGUGAAUGACUGGAGCGGAUUAAUGGUUUAUCCGUCCAAGUCUUUAGGGAACUAAAGAUGAGUGAAAGGUAAUCUUCGGAUUAUUGAUUCUGGGUGAAGCACUGGCUAGAAAAGCUGGUUCACUUAUGCUGCUGCCUACCGUACCGCAAACCAACACCGGUGCUCGGGUCGAGUAGACCAAGACCUACGUGAGAACCUUCGCUAAGGAACUCGGCAAAAAAGCGUCCGUAACUUCGGAAUAAGGACUGCCCUCUCAUUAAGAUGAGGAUUUGCUAGAAACUCAGCAGAAGAUUCAGAUUACCUUUUAACUGAAUUUUUCGUUGAGACAGAACACAAAACAGGAUUUGUUUAACAAAUUCGUGUCUUUUCUAGUAGUCUAAUCGUCAUUUUGAUGAGAGGGCCGCAGCUAAAGAGCCCACGGAACUGUUUACCAAAAACAUAGGUCUCUGCUAACGCGAAAGCGGAUGUAUAGGGGCUGACUCCUGCCCGGUGUCGGAAGGUUAAGGGGAGAGCUUUACGGUUCGAACUGAAGCCCCGAUGAACGGCGGCGAUAACUAUGAUCGUCCUAAGGUAGCGAAAUUCCUUGUCUGGUAAGUUCAGACCCGCACGAAUGGAGUAAUCAUGUGGGCACUGUCUCGGCGAAGGCCACGGUGAACGUGCAUUGGCGGUAAAGAUGCCGUCUGAUCAUGCCAGGACGAGAAGACCCCAUGGAGCUUUACUACAACUUUGCAUUGAUUAUUGGGACAUUUUGUGUAGAAUAGGUGGAAGACUUUGAAGCAGAUACGCUAGUAUUUGUGGAGUCGAAAUAUGAAAUACCACCCUGAAUGUUUUAGUAAUCUCACUUUUGACCUGAUCGGCCAAAAGGACCGUGCAUGGCGGGUAGUUUAACUGGGGCGGUUGCCUCCUAAAGAGUAGCGGAGGCGUUCAAAGGUUGGCUAACUACGGAUGGAAAUCGUAGUGAUAGUGUAUGCGCAAAAGCCAGCUUGACUGUGAGGGCCACAACCCAAUCAGACACGAAAGUGGGAGCAAAUGACCCGCUGUACAGAACUUCGGUUCAAUUUACGUGGGAAAGACAGCGCACACGGAUAAAAGUUACCCUGGGGAUAACAGGCUGAUCGCGCCCAAUAGUUCACAUAGACGGCGCGGUUUGGCACCUCGAUGUCGGCUCAUCACAUCCUGGAGGGGGAGCACCUUCCAAGGGUUCGGCUGUUCGCCGAUUAAAGUGGUACGCGAGCUGGGUUCAGAACGUCGUGAGACAGUUCGGUUUAUAUCCGGCAUGAUCGUUAGGAAUUUUGAGGAGAUCUGCCCCUAGUACGAGAGGACCGGGGUGGACGAAUCUCUAGUGUAUCGGUUGUGGCCACCUGCUGCAUCGCCGAGUAGCUAUGUUCGGAAGAGAUAAGCGCUGAAAGCAUAUUAAGCGCGAAGCCCACUCCAAGAUUAGAAUUCCCUAUGAGAUCCCAGAGAGAAGAUCUGGUUGAUAGGCGCAAGAUGGAAGUAUCGCAAGGUAUGGAGUCGAAGCGUACUAAUAGAUCCAUCGCCUUUUUAUG